UGUAAAGGACUACUCCAUUUUGAGAUAUAAAGGCAGCAGACCACCGCACCAUCGCAAAAUGUAACUUCUCUAAGUUUUGCAGAACUAAGAACAUUGGGGUGAUCCAUUUAGAUACAAUACUUUGUCACGAAGUCUAUGAAUAAAUGAAUGAGAUCUCAUUCUCUAAGUCUAUGAAUAUAUGAAUGUAAUCUCACUCUCUAAGUCUAUGAAUAUAUGAAUGUAAUCUCCAGUCUUCUGGAACUUGAGAGCUUCUUAGAUACAAUUUUCAUAUUAGUAGCCUAUCAACAUUUAGUACUUCUCGUUUUUCCAUGCAGCUUUUUCUGGCAUCUAACUACCAACGAUAUCCACUUGGUCCACGAUACACUGUGCCUUGUGGACUCCGCGACGAUCCACACUAAGUGCCAGCAAGCCUUUUCGAGAAGAAUAAUUAACUGUUUAUCUCUAUAUUCAUCCAAAUGAAAUCCAUCGGAUUAAAUGUGCUACAACGCUCGAUGUCACCGAGUUACCACGCAUGACAAAGAAGCAUGGGGUCAUCUAUUUAGUACAUAUGCAUUGGAGAGGAUAUGAUUGGUACGUUGGUUGGUCCAUCGGAUCUUCUUGUAGAAGGGAGGGAUACCAAACAGGCAAAGAAACGAAAUAGGAUUUAAAAUAGACGAACGUUUGCGUGUGUACUAAAUGAGUGACCUAACUAUAGACCCCUUACAUGACGACGCCAUAUAAAUACAACUACCGGAAUUAAAGCACUUAUUGAGUAAUAAUCUUGAUAAAACAGAUAUAUUGUGGUGUUUUAAGUACAAAUAUGGAAAUUUUCA